UACGUAGGGAGCAAGCGUUGUUCGGAUUUACUGGGCGUAAAGGGCGCGUAGGCGGCGAGGUAAGUCACUUGUGAAAUCUCUGAGCUUAACUCAGAACGGCCAAGUGAUACUGCAGUGCUAGAGUGCAGAAAGGGCAAUCGGAAUUCUUGGUGUAGCGGUGAAAUGCGUAGAUAUCAAGAGGAACACCUGAGGCGAAGGCGGGUUGCUAGGCUGACACUGACGCUGAGGCGCGAAAGCCAGGGGAGCAAACGGG
rnacentral:rRNA from 1 species